rnacentral:rRNA from 1 species
AUGAACGCUGGCGGCAGGCCUAACACAUGCAAGUCGAACGGAGUUAUAUUGUAGCUUGCUAUGGUAUAACUUAGUGGCAGACGGGUGAGUAAUGUAUAGGAAUCUACCUAGUAGUACGGAAUAAUUGUUGGAAACGGCAACUAAUACCGUAUACGCCCUACGGGGGAAAAAUUUAUUGCUAUUAGAUGAGCCUAUAUUAGAUUAGCUAGUUGGUGGAGUAAUAGCCUACCAAGGCAAUGAUCUAUAGCUGAUCUGAGAGGAUGAUCAGCCACACUGGAACUGAGAUACGGUCCAGACUCCUACGGGAGGCAGCAGUGGGGAAUAUUGGACAAUGGGCGAAAGCCUGAUCCAGCCAUGCCGCAUGAGUGAAGAAGGCCUUUGGGUUGUAAAGCUCUUUUAGUGAGGAAGAUAAUGACGGUACUCACAGAAGAAGUCCUGGCUAACUCCGUGCCAGCAGCCGCGGUAAUACGGAGAGGGCUAGCGUUAUUCGGAAUUAUUGGGCGUAAAGGGCGCGUAGGCGGAUUAGUAAGUUAAAAGUGAAAUCCCAAGGCUCAACCUUGGAAUUGCUUUUAAAACUGCUAAUCUAGAGAUUGAGAGAGGAUAGAGGAAUUCCUAUGA